GACGAACGCUGGCGGCGUGCCUAAUACAUGCAAGUAGAACGCUGAAGGAGGAGCUUGCUCUUCUGGAUGAGUUGCGAACGGGUGAGUAACGCGUAGGUAACCUGCCUGGUAGCGGGGGAUAACUAUUGGAAACGAUAGCUAAUACCGCAUAAGAGUAGAUGUUGCAUGACAUUUGCUUAAAAGGUGCAAUUGCAUCACUACCAGAUGGACCUGCUUUGUAUUAGCUAGUUGGUGGGGUAACGGCUCACCAAGGCGACGAUACAUCGCCGACCGGUGAGGGUGAUCGGCCACACUGGGACGGAGACACGGCCCAGACGCCUACGGGAGGCAGCAGUAGGGAAUCUUCGGCAAGGGACGGAAGUCUGACCGAGAAACGCCGCGUGAGUGAAGAAGGUUUUCGGAUCGUAAAGCUCUGUUGUAAGAGAAGAACGAGUGUGAGAGUGGAAAGUUCACACUGUGACGGUAUCUGACCAGAAAGGGACGGCUAACUACGUG
rnacentral:rRNA from 1 species